ACUGCAAGUUGAGGAAAUCAAUUUGUAAGUAUAAUAGUUGAUAUAUAUUGCAUGAAGAGAUUCCACUAUUUAGUGUAGAAUAGUUAUUCUGAAUGCUUAGUUAUUCUGAAUCCUAUCCUGAAUCUGACAGGAUAACCAUAAUUCAAUACAUUAUAAGCUUUGACCUGUGAGACAUGACGUAAAAUAACAAUAUUUAUGUUACAAAUACAAUACAGGAUAUAAUACCACCAGAUAACACAUCAUGAAACUUGUUCAUCAACAUUUGGUAUUUGCCACUAAGGAUAUAAGUCAACUUACAAUGUAACUCCACUGCUCCAUAUAUCAACUUUAGUUCCAGAAAAUUGUUCAGCACCAUUGGCUAUCUCUGGAGGCUGGAAUGCAGGUGAGCCCUGUCCUGUGUAACAUAUAUCCUCCUGUGAAAACAUGUCUAAUGCCUGAAAGAAUAUAUUUUUUUAUAUAUAAUUAUCAGGUAAAACUUUAAGAUUAAUUUAGUUUUAAAUAACAUUAAGAGAAACUUUUAUACUAAUUCUGUACUGUCAGAAUUGAUGAUUUAGAAUUUUCAGCUAGUCUAAUUGAUUCUUGUAGAUUGUCUAUGAGAUUUAUAAUUUCCUACAUUGUUUACAAAACAUAUUAUUGUAUACACUAACAAUUUAAAUUGAAUAAUACAAAUUUUCUUUAAAAUGAAA